rnacentral:rRNA from 1 species
UCGAGAAUCUUCGGCAAUGGGCGCAAGCCUGACCGAGCGACGCCGCGUGGAGGACGAAGGCCUUCGGGUUGUAAACUCCUGUCGAGGGGGAAGAAGGGCCGCGAGGCCUUGACUGAUCCCUGGAGGAAGCACGGGCUAAGUUCGUGCCAGCAGCCGCGGUAAGACGAACCGUGCGAACGUUAUUCGGAAUCACUGGGCUUAAAGCGCGUGUAGGCGGGGCGGAACGUCGGAUGCUGAAAGCCCCCGGCUCAACCGGGGAAGUGGCACCGAUACGACCGCCCUCGAGGGACGUAGGGGGACCUGGAACUUCCGGUGGAGCGGUGAAAUGCGUUGAGAUCGGAAGGAACGCCCGUGGCGAAAGCGAGGUCCUGGACGUUUUCUGACGCUGAGACGCGAAAGCCAGGGGAGCGAACG